CAACCCCUGAGCCACGGGUGUGAUAUGACGAUGAUGAGCGAGAGACUUGAACUCGUCGAGUGAAGCCGUCACCUACUCUCGGAGAAGAACAAAACAGGAAGCCAGGAGCAGGAGCUCCGAAAGAGUUGCGAGGCAACAAGAAGACCUCUCAUGGCCAUAGACGACCACUCGAGGUGAACCGGAAAACACACGCACGAAGAAAUCAGACCGGACACUUUCACCACGAUCACAUCCGCCUUCAACCCUCGUCUCCUAAGCCCUCAAAGAACCUGAGAGAACUCUUGGUUACGGCAAGCCAAGCAUCGGAAUCUCUCCGACCCGAAGAAAUCCUAAGCAAACACCACCAUAACCGAACAAGCACGAGCACCAGCAACAGACCCGCAGCUGCAGACCACCGCCGAAGCCACCGUGACAAGACCCUUUGCUACCACUCCUCGACGACAGAGAACCCGAGAGAUCCAUAAAAGGGAAAGUGAAUCUCUCCAUAAACUCAAAAGCCGACUCUAGAUCGCUCUACUUCGCCGGACCCUCACCGCAAUUCCGGAGAAAGAGCUACCCCUACCUUGAAUCGGCUCCUCGCGACUGAAGCUUCCACCGGCGACGCAAGCUCGAACCUAGAAGAGCAAGCAUAUCGGGAGAGGGAGAGCAGAGACGACCUAGAGCAAAGAGGAAGACGAGACAGAGGAGAAGAGACCCCUCCGGCUCCGGCACGCGCUCUGACGCGACGUCCGUACGCCGGAGAGUAAGAUUCAGUCGCAGAUGAGAUGAAAGGUCGAGAGAGAAUGUGGAUAGAGGAGAAGAGACCCCUCCGGCUCCGGCAUUGGUUUAUAAAUUGGUUGGCUGGUUUAUAAGCGGUUUAAUUGAUUUGACUCGUGUGAUCCGAAAAGAAAUUCGGUUUGAUUUCCAGUUUAAGCGUCUUUAGCCUGUGAUCUCAUGCUGGCAUCACUUAAAAUAUGAGACCAACAUUAUCGCCGUUUCUUAGCUAAAGUUUUUAGUAUAAUUAAGAUUAAAAAUAAAUCAAAAUUAGUUAUUAUCAGAAAAACAUUAUUUAAUUAAGGACAAGAACAAACGUUUCUUGAGACACGUGUCUCUCAUUGAGGGAGUUUCCCCUUCUUCUCUCCACAUCUCUCUCUGUGGUGACUCCUCUGUUUCUCACUUCAGAGGAAAAUGGUAAAAUACAAAGCUUUGGUUGAGGACUGUUGCUGUGAUUACGAAACAGUGGACAAAUCUUCUCCAGUUCCAGUGUUAGCUGAUGAUCCAAGCGGUGAUGAUCUUGUUUUGUCUCCAAGGAAGAAUCUUUGCUUGAGGUUCAGGUUCAGAUUAAGAAAGAUGCGUCGAUGGUCGGAUCUUAUCUCAAAGGAAGACUCAAUCAGCUGAAAGAGAAACACGAAAUCAUUGGGGAUGUACGGGGAAGAGGACUGAUGCUUGGAGUUGAGCUGGUGAGUGGUCGCAAACUUAAAACUCCUGCAACUGCCGAGACUCUUCGCAUCAUGGAUGAUAUGAAAGGUUUGUUGGUUUUGUGUUUUUUGUGGGAAAAUUGAGAGUGAUCCAGUUUGAUUUAAGAUCUCGGAAUUUGUGUGUGCAAUUGUGUAAAGGAUCAUAGCUCAGAAGAAGAAAGGAAGAUGAGUGGAAGUGGAGAUAAAGUUAGUGUAACUACAAAGUCCUAGUAAUAAUGUGCAUAUUUCCUAAUGUCUCUUAACAAUGUAUCUUACUCUAAAAAUAGUAAUAAAAAAAGCUAAGAACUCAAAAUUUUGUCCCAGCAAUAAUGAUGCUCUGAUACCAAAAACAUUCAAGAGACAUCUCAUCCGAAAAUGCCACGCGUCAAUGAAGCUGUGGCUGAGAUUGACUACACAGUCCACGUCAGCUUACUAGAAACAGGAUCAUGCUUGUCUUCACACUUUUGCCACUUCUUCUUUAAUCUUUCCUGAACGUUUGAUGAUACGGAGAAGACACUUCUUGGUGUAGUGUAGAGAGAAAGAGAGAGCCAUGGAAGCUUUGAAAGUCGCUAGCUUUACUCCUAUGUCAGUUUUAUCCGAAAAGAGAUCAGAACCAGGGAGACCCUUCUCACUCCCUAGCAUAUUUCCACCAAAGAAGACCCCAACCCAAUCUCCAUGGAAAGCUUCUUCAAGAGCUUCAAUGGCGGGUUGGCUCUACUAACUUCUGUUCUAAGCAGUGCAAUAGCUCCUGCAAAGUCUCUGACGUACGAGGAAACCUUGCAACUAUCUAUUGACCACUUCUUCAUCUUUUGAUUUAGACGGUUUGAUCUAUGGGAUAUCAAGUUUCUUCACGGACAACCCUCCGGUUAUUUCUGCAUUUUCUGUUCCCUUUGUUCUGUCUCAGGUUCUGAACAAAAAUAAUAAGUGUUUAAUAUGCUAGAAUUUUAAACAAAAAGUUUACUAUUUGGAUAUUAGGUUUGUGUUUCCAUAUUUCAUCUGUAAAAAAAAAAUUGUUUUUCAAUAUAAAUAUAGAUUUUAUGGAGAGGUGUUCUAUGUAAGAGACACAUUGUGAUAUUUAGUUUGUUGAAAGUUAGCAUAUUAAUAAAUGUUUAAUAUGUUACGAGAUAACAUAAAAAAAAAAUCUAGAAUUAAAAAAAACGUUUACUAUUUGGAUAUUAGGUUUGUUUUCAUAUUCCAUAUGUAAAAGAAAAUUGCUUUUCACUAUAAAUAUAGAUUUCAUGGAGAAUGGAGAGUUGUUCCAUAAUAUCUAUGAGACACAUUGAGAUAUUUAGUUUUGAAAAGUUUCUAAAGCAAGUAAAAAAAUUAUUCUUAUAAAUCUUUAUGUUUCUAGAGAUUUGAAUUGGUAACAUAGCUUUCGAUUGAAUACUUGAUCUAAGCCUAAGUUGAAGCUUCGAUCUGGUGACUGUAAGGAGAUCACAAACGCAAGAUGGCGAACGUGACUAGAGCUGCACCAGGCACAAAGGACUUCGGGUCCGUAUCCAUCCAAUGUCUGAUGUUGUCAUCAUCAACUAUACGGUUUUGUCGAUGAGGAUGAAGGUUUUGUUGCGGUUUCAUGAAGUAUGAGACACAACCGAACCUGGUUCGUAUGAUCAAAAGAAGAACAAUGUUGUGAGUGCUCUUUUGUUUCAAUCUGUUCCCAACACUUUGAUUCUCCAGGUGGGAGAACAAACCACAUCAAAAGAAAUCUGGAACCUAUCAAGUCAUGACACCUUGGAGCUGAUUAUCUAAGGCAUGUGAGACUUCAUACGUUGAUGACAGAGUUUUAUAGGUUGAGGAUGGAUGAUAAUGAUAUGGUCGAUGACUUUGCGGUAAAUAUAUCGGGCCUACCCUCCAAAGCAGCCUCGUUAGGAGAAAACAUAGAAGAGUCCAAGAUGGUGAAGAAAUUCUUGAAGGGACUUCUGAGACAAAAUUACAUCCAGAUCAUAGAGUCCCUUUAGCAAGUCCUAGACCUAAAUUCUACGGGCUUUAAGGAUAUAGUUGGAAGGCUAAAGGCGUGUGAGAAGCGUGUAGGGGAAAAACUCAGAAAGAAUACCAAGGGCCAGUAUAGUCAGAGGAACUAUGAGAGUUUUUGUGGUAGAUGUAGAGGACGGAAUGAAAUAGGUAGAGGACGAGGUCGGUUAAACAACCAAAACCAUGUCACACACCAUAGAUAAAAACUCUAAGAAGGAUCGUUCGAAAGUGAUAUGUUGGAGAUGUGAAAAUCCAUGCCACUAUCAACUGUCUGUCCCGGGAAACCAAUAAAGAAUCAAGAAACCAACAUAAACGAGACACUAGAGACGGGCACCCUUUACGUACACGAGGUAGUGUUCUUGAAUAAAGACAAACUGAUUCCGAAGAAUCUUGAUAUCGACAAAGGCAAUGCAAGUGUUUGGUAAUUGGAUAAUGGAGCGAGUAAUCACGUGACAUGAAACAAGGAAUUCUUUUCGAGUUUGGAUCAAAACAUCAAAGGUAAGGUGAAGUUUGGUGAUGGAUCGUGUGUUGACAUUUUAGGAAAAUUUGUGGUUACCUUUGUGUGCAAGGCUGGUGCGAAGAAGGCACUCAAAGACAUAUAUUAUAUGUCUGAUGUGAACCAUAACAUAUUGAGUCUUGGAUAAGCAACAGAAAACAGAUGUGAGGCUAACAUGAAAGUCGUAUAUUUAACACUCACAAAUUCAUGUGGAAGAUUGCUUGUAUGUGUUACUAGAUCCCUAAACCGUCUCUACAAAACUCUGAUGGAGAUUAGCUAUCCGGAGUGUUUACAUGUCAGAAAUGAAGAUGCUACAUGGAUGUGACAUGCUUAACUAGGACAUGUAAGCUAUAAAGUGAUGAAAACAUAGUAAAGAAUGAGAUGGUCGUAGGAAUGCUGAGUGUAACACACAAAGAAAGCGUGUGUGACGUGUUAGGGUAUUUUUGUGUAGGAUCUUUGUGAGUACUACGAAACAAUAGAAGAGCUGGAAAACGAGCAAGAAUAGAGAGCAAAGAGAUGUUUUAUUGAUUGAAUGUGCAGGAACUACAACGUUUGAUGUAUAAACCCUAGUUCUAGCUGCCUAGCUCUAAUCUCUUAGUCUAUGAAUGUCGAUUCUUUUGCUCUUGGGUAUGGGCUCCCUUAUAUAACUGUGGAGAUGUCGGUUAGGUAGGUUAAACUCUUCCAUAUUUUGAAAUAUGGAAGGAUCCCUUAUGUAGAAAAUUUCAAUUUUACCCGGAGAUGGAAGCAACGGUAGGAACCGGGUCUUUCUCUUAGUAGGAACCUGGAGGCCAGUAUCCUGCUCGAGGCCUGGGGGAUUCUUAUACCAGAUUAUUUUUUCCCAACAGCUUGCCCCUUAUUUCUUGAUUUCGUCAUCGAAUUCGGGAGAUAACCUAUGCACUUGAGUCAAUCGGAGUUGCUCUGUUUCGGUAGGCCUCCAUUAGGCAUGAUAUUGCUUCAGUUAUUCCGUUUCCCACGUUCUUCUUAGGCCUGAAUCGUGUUUGAACCAGGAGGAAAGCCGGCAUCCCCAUGAAUAAACCGGAGUCCAUAGUUGAUAUCCGUAGGUGCUAUACCUGUUUGGAGAUGAUCUUGCAGGGCUCGAAGCCCUGGCUCCUCAUGUUUGUUGAUGAUAGGACUAGUAUGCAGGGUUCAUGACCUGGAAUGGCCCUCGUAGGUUGACACAGGACUACUCGAAGGGAUGUUCUUCGCUUUAGUGAGCAUAAGAUAGUCACUAUGUUCAGCGGCCAGGCCCUUGGUCUUGAUGUUGGAGGGAUGUGCUCCGUCGGAGCUUUACCUCUAUGGAGUCGGGGGUUUGGUCGAUCAACUCAGCUUUAAUGUCUCUGAUUUUCCUUCUUUAUUUGCGAACCGGCCGAAUCUAUUUCUUCAUUCAAUUUUUCUAAAAAAAGGGGGUUUUGAUUUGAAUUUUGAAAUCUCCCCUUUCUUAUUUUAUUUUUGUAAGGGGAUCAAGAUUAUCAGCUUUCUCGAGAAGAUAUCAACGACUCUUACUCUAAAUGCCACCCUUUCUUUUUUCACUCCAUAAUCGCGCAGCUCGGUCUUGGCUUCUUCACCUUUAGGUACCAUUUCUCACUCUCUCUCUAGGAUUAGGUAGAUCGUGAUUUUCCAGUCGUUUAGGUGCGUAGGUCGAUUCUAUCCUCUCUCAUCCUCUAGUUUAUUGGCCAGGAGACGAUUCACAUAUGUCAAAGCGCUCUGGUUCUUCCAUUCCUCUAACGGCCGAGAAGGUCAAAUCAAAGAAGAGACUAGAUUCUCCCAUCUCCAAAUCCGAUAGUUCAUCAGAUCCGCACGACGAAACUGAGCAUAACCUCUUGGCUCCAGCUCCAUUGUCUUACGCCCCUCUGAUUCCACCUCUGGUGGGUCCCGCGUUGUUAGUGGGGGAUGACGAUUUUGCAGAAUGGCGGAAGAAAUAUCUACUCCCUCCUUAUGUUGUUCUCCGUGCAUCUAGCUCUUCUGAGCAGGCUUAUAACUGCAUGCCGGAAGAGAUUGCCGUUUCCGAAGCCUUCUUUGAUUCGGGAUUCAGAGGAGAAGUGCCAUCGAUUAUCGCAUGGUUAUGUGAUUACUUCCGGAUCUCACCUUCUCAACUCAAUCCUCUCGCUUGGAGGAUUCUCAUUGCUAUUCAGAACUUGGAGGACAUAAAGUGCAUCCCCUUGGGUGUUAACAAGGUGUUCUACGCUUAUCAUUUAGCCCCCAUCAACAGUGGCGAGGGUCAUUUUCAUCUCGGCCCUUGCAGCCGUUUGCCGAUCCUAGAGGAACUUUUGAAGAAUGACCGUAACGCUCAUGUCUUCAGGAAGAAAUGGCAGGAGAGAUAUGCUUUUAUGAUCCUUCCAGGAUCCUUUUAUCGAUGAAAUUUCGUAGAUAGGUUUAUGAUACGAUAGGUGGCUUAUCUCGAUCUGCUGAUUGACAUAUCUGAAUUUUUGUGUGCAGCUGGAACUCAUCAUGCUCUUUCGGAGGGAGAAAGUAACGUUCUUCGCGCGCGAACGCUUCCCCUCGAACACCGUCAGGUGGUGUACUUGCUUAGCUCAACGGUGUUGCAUGAAAAUUUUGACUCGAAUAUUUAACGACUCCCGCUUUGAUGUUUAUUUUCAGACAGUGGCGAAGCCACCUUAUGUGGUGUGGUGGCACAUGCACCCAUAGAUAUCUUAAGACUCAAAUUUUUAUAGGUAAAAGCAUGUAGAUUUUGGUGGAUUAGAUGGUAAAAGUCAGUUUUGUGCACCCAUAAUAACCCAGGUUCGAAGCUCAUUUGUACAUUUUUAGCUUUUAUUAUCAAUAGUGCACCCAAGAAAUAAAUACUCUAGAUUUGCCCCUGUUUUCAGAGAACAUGUCAGGAGACGCUGCGCAAUAUCCGAUGGUCGCUUUCAAGGAGGCGACAAAGGCGGUGUCAGCAAAAAAGGAUUCGUCAGCAAGGAUACCUCGGAUGAUGAUAUGACGAUCACCGAGAGCAGGCGCAAGACAGUGGUGAAAGUAGAACCAACUUCUUCAUCUCAGGGGAAGAAGUCAAAGGAUGGUGUACUUACGAGGUCAGCUCAUCAAUAAGCCGAAAUUGGGCACUCGUCUGGUGGGCUAUCCACUGUUCUCUCCAACUUGAACUUGAAAGUAUUUCUUCAGGAUCAGACUCAUCUUUCGGAGGGAGAACCUUCGGAGGUGAUUCAAGUUUUCCAUGGCGAACUCCUUCGGGUAAGCAAAAUGUUUAAUUGGUCGUUAUUUUUAGUCUUUUGAUAUACUCUCGUCUGAUGAUAAUUUUGCAUUGGCAUAGAAUUUGUCUCAACUUCACCAUUUAGGAGAGGGAUUGUCGGAAGAGGGUGUGUCCUCUAAUCGGGAAGAACUGGAAAAGCUAAUUUGCCAGCUGUUUGAAAAGAAAGGCAAAUGCACGGCCAGGGAAAUGGAGAUUUGCGAUCUUCAGGCGAAGGUCAAGGCCCAAGAGUCCAUGGUGGAGGCGUCUUCGGCUGAGGCGCUUACCCUAGGCAAGGAAAAACAAGAACUAGAGAAAAUCAUGAGCGACCUUAGAAAGUCAGCGGAGACUUUUAAGUACGAGAUGGUGAUGGCCGUGAAUGGGGCGAGGAUUACCGCUCGCUGGGAGCUAACGAGAGAGUGGCUCAGGCGUUAAACCGGCAAGUGGAAUUUGGCCAAGGAGAUGGAUCAGUACAAGACCGUAGUUUUGGCAGAGGCUAACAUCAAGGGCGUCGUUCCUCCUACAUUUGAGGAUGAGCCGACUAUCCCUUCUGCUUCGGAUAUGGAGGUGGAUUUUUCUGUUAAGCCGGACAGAUUCUCUACAUGCUUAGACCAUUUUCAAUAUAUUUCCCUUUUUUUACUUCUAAAAUAAAGAAAUUCUAUAAUAGAGAUGAAUUUUGCUUCAAUGUAUUUUUCUAAAAUAGAAAUUUUCAAAUACAGAAAAAUGCUAUUUAUUCCUAUAUAAAUAGAGAAGAGAAAUAGCAAUCUCUA